GGAGUCUGGGCCGUAUCUCAGUCCCAAUGUGGCCGAUCACCCUCUCAGCCCGGCUACCGAUCGUCGCCUUGGUGGGCCGUUGCCCCGCCAACUAGCUAAUCGGACGCAAGCUCAUCCCAUACCGAUAAAUCUCUAGUCAGCCCUCCAUGCGGAGGGCCACUCUCCUGGACAUUAACCGCGCGUUGGCACGGGUAUUUCCUGAUAUGGGGCAGAUUGCUUACGCGUUACUCACCCGUUCGCCGCUCGGCAUUGCUGCCUCGCUCGACUUGCAUGUAUUAAGCCUGCAGCUAGCGUUCAUC
rnacentral:rRNA from 1 species